UACGUAGGGUGCAAGCGUUAAUCGGAAUUACUGGGCGUAAAGCGUGCGCAGGCGGUGAUGUAAGACAGAUGUGAAAUCCCCGGGCUCAACCUGGGAACUGCAUUUGUGACUGCAUCGCUGGAGUGCGGCAGAGGGGGGAUGGAAUUCCGCGUGUAGCAGUGAAAUGCGUAGAUAUGCGGAGGAACACCGAUGGCGAAGGCAAUCCCCCUGGGCCUGCACUGACGCUCAUGCACGAAAAGCGUGGGGGAGCAAAACAGG
rnacentral:rRNA from 1 species